rfam:Ixodes scapularis strain Wikel colony gcontig_1108378459636, whole genome shotgun sequence.
GCCUCGGUGGCUCCGAGGCGAGAGCGGCGGCCUACGGAUCCCCAUGUGGCGCGGGUUCGAAUCCCGGCCGAGGUG